UGUAUGUGUAUAUGUGUGUUCUCACUGAAAAAUAGUGAGAAAAUAGGCUUGAAAAAAUAAGUAUACAUUCAUAUAAUUUUUACCUUCACAUUAAUAGCAUUUGUAUAUAAUUUAGUCUUAUUUGAAUCAGUGGGGUAUAAUUAUAUGAGAAUUUGAGUUGUUUUGAUCUUACAUUUGUAGGUUCAUACCUUGGUUCCUGUCCCUCCUAUUUCCCGUUUUUUACUUUUUUCUCUAAUGGGCAGAUUUUCUUGUUCCUUCUUGCUUUCUUUCCUUCAUUCUUUAGUUGUAGUUAAUUUUUAUCCCUCUUUACAGUUGACAUCUGGUAUCUCCUGCCUCUCCUAAGAACAAUUUCUUAAGUAUCUCAAACUUUCUUUCAUCUUCCUGAUUUUCUCUUACUUAAAAAGUAGAAAUCACUGGGUGUGGUGGUGUACCCCUGUAAUCCCAGCAGCUCAGGAGGCUGAGGCAGCUGAGGCAGCUGAGGCAGGAGGAUCACCAGUUCAAAGCCAAUCUUAGCAACUUAGUGAGGCCCUAAGUAGGGCUGGGGAUAUAGUUCAGUUGGUAGAGUGCUUGCCUUGCAUGCAUAAGGCCCUGGGUUCAAUCCCCAGCACCACAAAAAAAGAGGCCCUAAGCAACUCAAUGAGACCCUGCCUCUAAAUAAAGUACAAAAUAGGGCUGGGGAUGUGUCUCAGUGGUCAAGUGCCCCUGAGUUCAACCCCUCAUACCAAAAAAAGAGCCGAAAUCCCACUAAAUAACAGAAUUAUGCAGUUUAUAUAUUUCCUACUCCAUUUCUGUUGUGAUUAUAAAUACAGUGGAUGACAUAGUAGACACCUACUGUUAAAUGUCCAAUCUAAUUCACAGUUAUUUAUAGUUGGUACUGAUGUUAAAUGCUAAUCCCAUCAUUCCUAUAUAGAUGGCAAUUAGUGUUAUAGAUUUCAAAGUACACACUGAAUAUUUAUAUUAGCACUGUACAUCUGUUGCUGACAUUAGGGCUGUCCCUGGCUCCCCCUUUCCCCUAAAAGGGGCUGGAAAAUGAUUGGGACACUUUGAGAUCACAGAGUAGUGAUCCUGAUGCCGAGAAAUCCUCACAACUCAGCCAAGCAAAAGUGAAUCUCACCCCACACAUGAUCUAGACCCACCUGAGCCCUGACAUUACUUCAACUCAUAGAAUUGGGGAGAUAAAACUCCCAAACCAAUAACCAGAGGGUGACUCAUAUUCCACCCCUUUACAUCUACUCAUAUAUCAAAAAUUGAAAGAGAUUCCAGAAGAGACAGUAACUACACACAAAAGGACAUACAUACAAAAGAGAAAGGUGAAUCCAUUUCAAUUGAUGCACAAGUUCAGGACUUUUGAAAACAUGAGAAAACAGGCAAACAAAUUUCACCCCACUCCCAAAUUUAUAAUCCCC
rnacentral:lncRNA from 1 species